GCUUUCUGGCUCUUUUUUUUUUUAAAAAAAGAUGUUUUGUUCCUUUCUCCUUCUCUUGCUGUCUUCCUUUGUGAUUUGAUCAUUUUCUAUAGCGGUGAGAUUCCAGUGUUUCCUCCAGAAAGGCACAUUAUUCCUCCACCAUGGUCUUCUUUUUCCUGUGUACCUUGACCCUGUAGGAGAUGAGACUUCUAAAGUGAUUCCUUUCCCUCUUUUCUCCUCAUCACCCCUUCCCACUCUCUAAGGUUUUCAGGUGCUGGUUCCAUGGCUCUUCCUGAGCCGAAAAUAAGGAAACUCCAUAGACCUUGUCCACUGGAACUCGUUCCCAUCUACCCUCCACUCUAUCCAGGGUGAUGGAUCUCUGCAGUAAGUGGAAGAGUUCUUCAUGGCCCCCAAGGUUAUAUCCAUCUAGAACUUCAGCACGUAAUUUCAUCUGGAAAUAGUGCCUUUGCGGAUAUAAGUUAGGUAAAACUGAAGAUGAGAUCAUACUGGAUUAGGAUGGGAUCUAAAUCCAAUGAAAAUGUCUUCAUAA
ensembl:lncRNA ARLNC1 androgen receptor regulated long noncoding RNA 1